GGCCCCGUGGCGGAAUUGGUAGACGCAUGCGACUUAAAAUCGCAAGCUUUCGGGCGUACCGGUUCGAGUCCGGUCGGGGCUACCA
rnacentral:tRNA from 2 species